rnacentral:rRNA from 1 species
CCUACGGGAGGCUGCAGUGGGGAAUAUUGCGCAAUGGGCGAAAGCCUGACGCAGCGACGCCGCGUGAGGGAUGAAGGUCUUCGGAUCGUAAACCUCUGUCAGCAGGGAAGAACGGUCACUGUGCUAAGCAGCAGUGAAUUGACGGUACCUGCAAAGGAAGCACCGGCUAACGCCGUGCCAGCAGCCGCGGUAAUACGGAGGGUGCGAGCGUUAAGCGGAAUUACUGGGCGUCAAGCGCUCGUAGGCGGUAGGGCAAGUCAAGGGUGAAAUCCCCGCGCUCAACGUGGGAACUGCCUUUGAACCUGGCAAACUGGAGUGUGUGAGCGGCUAGUGGACUUCCAGGUGUAGGCG